CCUCCCGCAUAACUCAAUCUGGAACACACGCUGCCGGCUCGGUGUCUCAGCGAGAAGCUAUGAAUGCCUUGGCAGAGAGAGACAGCGAGCUGUUUUCUCAGUCACUUCCUCACAGGAACUCCCCAAAAUUACAGCUCUUCCGCUCUUCAGGAUCUGUCACUGCGCAGCCUUAACCCUGUCAGAAACCACGCCUUUUAUGGGAAAUAGAAAAAUCUAGUUAAUGUCGCUUCUCAUCUUUUUUUCUGAAAGAUUCCCCCAAGAAUUGUCCUUUACGCGGUGAUUGUACUAAUUAUGGAAGCGGACUUGAGAUUCCGACAGUCAUAGAAAGACUUAUUCUGCUCUAGAUAUAUAUCUGGAGGCACAAGCUCUUCUGGUUAGGGAAGGAUGUCAAGGAAAUGGAGAGAUUUAACAUGGAGUCGCGCUUUUGCAUGGAAAGUUGAGAAGCUGUGGAAUGUAUAACUGGAGUUAAUGAUUCAAGUGGAGACUGAGAAGCAGUUAAAUAAGUGAUUGUAGAAAAAGAAGAAUAAAGAUAAUGCAACGAGAUAUAGCCCAACCUACUGAGCAUUUCCAGCAUUUCUUGUUUAUGUUCCAAAGUGCUAAUACUUUCCUAGCCGUGGUGUAGCAUCUUCGGAAUUGACCAUCUCUCAGUCAGAAGCUGUCAUCUGCACAGUUAAAGUAUUGGCAUUUGGAAAAGAAUGAGGGUAUAUAUCACUUGAGGAGAGAUGGUAAAUCUUGUGUUGACAUUUCUUACAGCUGCCACUUGUAAUGGAUGUGUGAUGCUUAAUGCAUGUAGAAUGCAGAGGCUCAAUAUAGAUUUCACCAACAAGUGGAGAGGAGUUAUGUGUCACUUCUUUAUCUCUGCUGUUCUAAAGAGGUAUUAACUUUUCAUCCAAUACUGGAUUGGAAUCCUGUAUAUACAUCAUGUUAGGUCACUAACAAUAAUACCGACUGUUAAAAUGAACAAUUAUUAGAAAUUAACAUCUAAUUUUAUUGGGCACUUAUCAUAAUGAAAUGGGAAAACUUAGAAAUAGGGCACUGCACAGGAAAAUUGCCAAGGUAGAGGGAUUCUAAGAGAUUAAUCUUUCCUUUAAAUAGCCUAUGAUAGGAAAAGCUGAGAAUAUGAAAGUUGUCCAUGAAAAUUUCUUGUCCAUGGGAAAACACAGGUUAGGAAGAUCCAGACGUCUUAGAGAUAAAACCCGAAAGCCUUUAUCAUUAGAGACAAUCAAAUGAAGAAAGCUGUUAAGAAUAUGAUCUAAUGAUGCAAUGCUGAUAUGAAAGAUACAUGAAAUGUUUGCUGAGAUUGUGGUUACCAUAGAUCUAGAGAAGUUUGAGGAGGAAGAGGGAUAAACUCUUAGCACUCUGGCAACCUCAUGAACUCUUAGCAUUUGCCUGUACCUGUGUUUUUGUUUGGCCGCUGUGUACCUAU